UACAGAGGGGGCAAGCGUUGCUCGGAAUUACUGGGCGUAAAGGGCGCGUAGGCGGGAUGGCAAGUCGGUCGUGAAAUCCCUCGGCUCAACCGAGGAACGUCGAUCGAUACUGCUGUUCUUGAGGAUUGCAGAGGAGACUGGAAUUCCCGGUGUAGCGGUGAAAUGGUGUAGAGAGUCGGGAGGAACACCGGUGGCGAAGGCGGGUCUCUGGGCCGAUACUGGACGCUGAAGGAGCGAAAGCGUGGGGAGCGAACAGG
rnacentral:rRNA from 1 species